rnacentral:sRNA from 2 species
ACGCAGUGAGACAACGGAGCCGCUUGCGGCGACGGCCCGAAGGGCGAGGCGAAGCCGAGUCAUCCUGCACGACCCACCA